AGAGAGAGAAACAGAGAGAGAGAGAGGGAGAGAGAAACAGAGAGAGAGGGAGAGGGAGAAACAGAGAGAGAGAGAGGGUGAGAAACAGAGAGAGAGAGGGAGAAACAGAGAGAGAGAGAGAGAGAGAGAGGGAGAGUGAGAAACAGAGAGAGAGAGAGGGUGAGAAACAGAGCGAGAGAGAGAGGGUGAGAAACAGAGAGAGAGGGAGGGUGAAAAACAGAGAGAGAGAGGGAGAAACAGAGAGAGAGAGAGAGGGAGAAACAGAGAGAGAGAGGGAGAAACAGAGAGAGAGAGGGAGAGAGAGAGGGAGAAAGAAACAGAGAGAGAGAGAGAGGGAGAAACAGAGAGAGAGAGAUGGUGAGAAACGGAGAGAGAGGGAGAGUGAGAAACAGAGAGAGAGAGAGGGUGAGCAACAGAGAGAGAGAGAGGGUGAGAAACAGAGAGAGAGGGAGGGUGAGAAACAGAGAGAGAGAGGGAGAAACAGAGAGAGAGAGUGAGAAACAGAGAGAGAGAGGGAGAAACAGAGUGAGAGAGAGGGUGAGAAACAGAGAGUGAGAGAGAGGGUGAGAAACAGAGAGAGCGAGGGAGGGAGAAACAGAGAGAGAGGGAGAGGGUGAGAAACAGAGAGAGAGGGAGGGUGAGAAACAGAGAGGGAGAGAGGGUGAGAAACAGAGAGAGAGGGUGAGAAACAGAGAGAGAGUGAGAAACAGAGAGAGAGAGGGAGAGUGAGAAACAGAGAGAGAGAGAGUGAGAAACAGAGAGAGAGGGAGGGAUAGAAACAGAGAGAGAGAGAGAGAGGGUGAGAAACAGAGAGAGAGAGAGAGAGAGAGAGGGUGAGAAACAGAGAGAGAGAGAGAGAGAGAGAGAGAGAGGGUGAGAAACAGAGAGAGAGAGGGUGAGAAACAGAGAGAGAGAGAGGGAGAAACAGAGAGAGAGAGAGAGAGAGAGAGGGUGAGAAACAGAGAGAGAGAGGGUGAGAAACAGAGAGAGAGAGAGGGUGA
ensembl:lncRNA